rnacentral:tRNA from 1 species
UGCAGCUGCUGGUCUACGCGGCGCUGUCCUCGGGGCUGCAGACCCCGCUGCCGCUGCACGUCGAGGUGGGCUGGUUCGUCGCCGGCGGGCUGUGG